UUCUUUAGAUAUACAAUCCUUCACAACAAAUAUAAAGAACAAAACCAAAAUCAAACCCAUUGGCUACUACUGCUGGAAAUAAAGCCUCUUCAAAACAUCACCCCCAUCAUCUUUGAGAGCAAUCCCACAAGCUCCACAAUAGUGGUCUCUAAUAAAUUGAUUGAUAAAAGAUCUGUAUUUGAAGAUAAUCAAGAGUUAACAAAUAAAAUUAAUAAAUUCUAGAGCUAGAAAAGUGGAUCAAAAGUUAUCUACUAUGAGUACCAGAACCAAAGUAUUUUUGCCAAUAACUAUUCAGCAAACCUGAUAAAUUAUGCAUUAAUAAACUAAUUCAAGAAAAUUGAAAGCUCAAAAAAAAAAAAAAACCGAAGCUAGCUAAAAUUUUGAAAUUUCAAAUAUCGAAGUCGUGUAACUAUAAAAACUAUUAUCAUUCAUUGAAAAAUGAAUAAAUAAAAGAUGAUCAAGAAUUAUAAUCAAAUAAAAAC
rnacentral:lncRNA from 1 species